GACGAACGCUGGCGGCGUGCUUAACACAUGCGAGUCGAACGGAAAGGCCCUGCUUUUGUGGGGUGCUCGAGUGGCGAACGGGUGAGUAACACGUGAGUAACCUGCCCUUGACUUUGGGAUAACUUCAGGAAACUGGGGCUAAUACCGGAUAGGAGCUCCUGCUGCAUGGUGGGGGUUGGAAAGUUUCGGCGGUUGGGGAUGGACUCGCGGCUUAUCAGCUUGUUGGUGGGGUAGUGGCUUACCAAGGCUUUGACGGGUAGCCGGCCUGAGAGGGUGACCGGCCACAUUGGGACUGCGAUACGGCCCAGACUCCUACGGGAGGCAGCAGUGGGGAAUAUUGCACAAUGGGCGGAAGCCUGAUGCAGCAACGCCGCGUGCGGGAUGACGGCCUUCGGGUUGUAAGCCGCUUUCGCCUGUGACGAAGCGUGAGUGACGGUAAUGGGUAAAGAAGCACCGGCUAACUACGUG
rnacentral:rRNA from 1 species